rnacentral:rRNA from 1 species
UGGAGAGUUUGAUCCUGGCUCAGAUUGAACGCUGGCGGCAGGCCUAACACAUGCAAGUCGAGCGGUAGCACAGAGAGCUUGCUCUCGGGUGACGAGCGGCGGACGGGUGAGUAAUGUCUGGGAAACUGCCUGAUGGAGGGGGAUAACUACUGGAAACGGUAGCUAAUACCGCAUAACGUCGCAAGACCAAAGUGGGGGACCUUCGGGCCUCAUGCCAUCAGAUGUGCCCAGAUGGGAUUAGCUAGUAGGUGGGGUAAUGGCUCACCUAGGCGACGAUCCCUAGCUGGUCUGAGAGGAUGACCAGCCACACUGGAACUGAGACACGGUCCAGACUCCUACGGGAGGCAGCAGUGGGGAAUAUUGCACAAUGGGCGCAAGCCUGAUGCAGCCAUGCCGCGUGUAUGAAGAAGGCCUUCGGGUUGUAAAGUACUUUCAGCGAGGAGGAAGGCAUUAAGGUUAAUAACCUUAGUGAUUGACGUUACUCGCAGAAGAAGCACCGGCUAACUCCGUGCCAGCAGCCGCGGUA